UGAAGUAAGUCCGGACGGUCAAGA
rnacentral:piRNA from 1 species